UACGUAGGUGGCAAGCGUUAUCCGGAUUUAUUGGGUGUAAAGGGCGUGUAGGCGGGAGCGCAAGUCAGAUGUGAAAACUCAGGGCUCAACCCUGAGCCUGCAUUUGAAACUGUGUUUCUUGAGUGCUGGAGAGGCAAUCGGAAUUCCGUGUGUAGCGGUGAAAUGCGUAGAUAUACGGAGGAACACCAGUGGCGAAGGCGGAUUGCUGGACAGUAACUGACGCUGAGGCGCAAAAGCGUGGGGAGCAAACAGG
rnacentral:rRNA from 1 species